rnacentral:rRNA from 1 species
GACGAACCGUACGAACGUUAUUCGGAAUCACUGGGCUUAAAGGGUGCGUAGGCGGUGCGGAAAGUUGGGUGUGAAAUCCCUCGGCUCAACCGAGGAACUGCGCUCAAAACUACCGUGCUUGAGGGAGACAGAGGUGAGCGGAACUUAGGGUGGAGCGGUGAAAUGCGUUGAUAUCGGAAGGAACGCCGGUGGCGAAAGCGAGUUGCUGGAUCUCUUCUGACGCUGAGGCGCGAAAGCUAGGGGAGCAAACGGGG